AAAUUAGAAGAAAAAAAAAGUAGUAGUAGUUCAAUUGAGGCAAGACAUUCCCAAUCUUAUCAUUGAAAAUUGGUAAGAAUAUAAAUUAAAAAACCUCAGUAGUGAUUACCACCAUCUUCCACCAAUUAAACCACCCACAUUGUGUCCCUUUCUUGGCCUUUUUGUUCCUUCUCUCAUUCAUUUUCUAUCAUUCUCUCUCUUUUGCUCAGGAAUUGCCUGCUACAGGACUACAGGGUUUAUCAUUAUAAAUUCAAAGUAAAAAAGAAUUUUUUAAACCAAAAAAGAGAAGUUUUGAACAUCACAUUGAAGAAAAAGAGAACCCAUAAAGCAAACAAAAAAUGGGAUGUUUUGGAAAGAGAUUUACUCUAUCAUUAUUGCUAUUUUUUUGUGUUUACAGGGAGAUUAUUGCUUAUUCUGGAAUUAUUAAUAAGUUGCCAAUAAUAUCAUUUGAUGAAGGCUAUUCUCAUCUUUUUGGAGAUGAUAAUCUUAUGGUUCUUAAAGAUGGAAAAUCUGUUCUUCUUUCUCUUGAUGAAAGAACUGGUUCUGGAUUCAUGUCAAAUGACCUUUACUUACAUGGGUUUUUCAGUGCUUCAAUUAAAUUGCCUGCUGAUUAUACUGCUGGGGUUGUAGUAGCCUUUUAUAUGUCUAAUGGUGAUAUGUUUGAGAAAAAUCACGAUGAAAUCGAUUUUGAGUUCUUAGGGAACAUCCGAGGCAAAGAAUGGAGGGUUCAGACCAAUGUGUAUGGGAACGGUAGCACAAGUGUAGGAAGAGAAGAAAGAUACACCUUAUGGUUCGACCCUACGGAGGAAUUUCAUUGUUACAGCAUUCUUUGGACUGAAGAUCAAAUCAUAUUUUAUGUGGAUGAUAUCCCCAUUAGGGAGAUAAGGAGAAGAGCAGCAAUGAAGCAUGAUUUUCCUUCCAAACCAAUGUCAAUAUAUUCAACUAUAUGGGAUGCCUCAAAUUGGGCCACCAAUGGAGGCAAGUACAAAGUAGACUAUAGAUAUGCCCCUUAUGUAUCCCAAUUCUCCGACCUCGUUCUUCAUGGUUGUGCUGUCGAUCCUAUCGAAAAAUCUCGAAAAUGUGAUGAUAUCACAUCCAUUGAUGGACAAAUCACCUCAUUACAAAGGAUCAAAAUGGCCAACUUUAGGAACAAAUACUUGACUUACUCGUAUUGCUACGACCAAUCUCGAUACAAGAUUCCACCUAGUGAGUGUGUUAUUGAUUCUCGAGAGGCUAACCGUCUUAAGAGGUUCGAUCCAGUCACAUUCGGAGGAGAAAGUCGACGCCACCAUGGUAGGCAUCACCAUCGGAGUACUAACAACGACGAGAAGGCCUCGAUUUAAGUGCAUUGGCACUCAUUGUUAGCCAAAAUUCUUCCUACUCUUCAUUUAUUGAUUUUUGGCUCAUAGAUACAUUGAUGUGUUAGGUUACUAGUUCUUUAAAUCAACACUCUUCUUAAUCAUCCAUAACUAUUCAAGGUAAUGUGUAAUAGUUUUCAUACCUCUAUGUUGUUUUAUGAAGUAUUGUUGUUGAUGAGCAUAUUGAAUUAGUUACAUUUGAUGUACAUUAUGUGUUAUAAGCAAUAUACGAGCUUUGAACUUAGACAUGAUCCCGAUCAAAUUCGUGGUAAAGGGAGGCUUAAGUUUAGGAGAAUUGCCAACGAAAUAGAUGAGGGUAGAAAGAAACGAAUUAAUUGUCGUCGUUGUGGGAGCAAAGGUCACAACACUAGAACCUGUAACUCCAGGUAAUAUAUUAUAUAUAUUAUACUAGUAUGAUACUCUAUAAUACGUAUAAUAAUGUUAAACUGACAACACAAAUGUAUUAUACAUAAUUACAUAAUGGUAAUAUUAACUAAAGCUACUGCGAACACAUUAGUAGAGGAGAUGAAUCCAGCAGCUCCAGGACCCCAAGACCCUAGUGUGUUGACUAUACAGCAUGAGCACAGGAUUACUCCUCUUUGGAACGCCUAGGUUAGAUGUACGAUAGUUGUGAUUUGCAUUUUACUAGUGAUAACAUACAAGUAACUUAUUUAUAUGUCAAUAUUCAUAGGUGUCCGAUACAGACACGUUAGGCACUAGGCAUCUAGAUUCCGUUCCAUGGGUGAUCGAUGAUAGGAUCAUCCCGUACCUAGAGCUCACGAGGUUGUAUGACUUUCACCUCGUUGCAUACAAUAGAGUUGACUGUGCCAUUAUCACAGCACUGGUUGAGAGAUGGCGUCAGGAGACACACACAUUUCAUCUCCCUUUAGGUGAGGCUACCAUCACACUGCUUAAUGUAGCCUUACUAACACGGCUUCCCAUCGAGGGACGUGCCGUGUGUACAGCCGGACGCCAGCUAUCAAGCUGGCGUGACAUGGUGCAUCGCAUUUAAGGAGUGCGCCCUCCAGCGGAAGUGAUCAGGGGGAGCAGUUUGCGCUGCACAUGGUUGGUUCAGACCUUUUCGCAUCUCCCCGAAGAUGCUGAUGAAGGCACCAUUGCGAGGUACGCCACUCUUAUAUUUGAUAGGAGCUGUCUUGUUUGCCGAUAAAACAAGCAACCAAAUACAGCUCCUAUAUUUAACUUAAAUUGACGAACCAUGGGAGCGCAUCGCCGAGUAUAGCUGGGGCUCCACAGCUCUAGGAUACUUGUACAGGAGGCUAUGUGGUGCUGCCCACAAGAACGUCAAGGAGAUUGCGGGACCACUAGUCUUAUUAUAGCUGUGGGCGUGGGAGCAUAUUCUUAUCGACCAACCUUACAGAACCGUUGUUCGUGGUGAUGCCGCUUCUCCGCAACAACCCCCACCAGAUGCUGCGUAUGGUUCAAGGUGGAAUUUUGCACACCGGACUGGCAAGCAA